rnacentral:tRNA from 1 species
AAUUAUAUAGUUUAUUUAAAAUAUUAAUUUUGUAAAUUAAAGUUAAUUUUAAAAUUUAUAAUUU